rnacentral:lncRNA from 1 species
CAGGAACUGAGUAGAGAAGGCCGUGCAAAGAAAGGGCAGCUGGCCUGAGAAGAUGGAGAGCCUGUGGGCUGAGCACAGGGAGAGCCCCUUGCCUGCCCAGGAGCUGCACAAGGGAUCCUGAAAUAAAUUUCAUCUUCACACUUGUGUUUAGUUCUGCUCCUUGGCUACCUAGAGAGUAGAAAGUAUGGCAGAGCUGUUUGGCUUUGGUGAUGGUCAGCCCCGGGGAGGAAGAGAAUGAAGAACCAGAAGAAGGUGUUGGCCUCCCACGAG